rnacentral:lncRNA from 1 species
CCGAUGACAACAAAUCGGAUGAUGAUUGCGCGAACCAUGCACGAGAAAACAAAGUGAACGGAAUUUGAAGCAUAACGCAGUUAGGGACGUUGACGAUAAAUGUGACAUGCGUUUGUUUACUAUUUUUUCCACGAGAAAAGUCAAUCGACACAUCCACCGAAACGGAACCGGAUAGCUAGUCUACUUCUAACCAGGUAUAAUACUAUGAUUAAAGAAAUUAGUGCGUCAGAAAAAAACAGUUCUAUUUUUGGAAACUACAAACGUUAUAUAGGACGAGAAAUGACAGGUUUUAACCUGUAGCUAGCCACGCAUGCUGUGAGCCGUAUAAGGCUAUCGACUAGUUCGCUAUCACGUUUUAAAAAGUACGUUUUAAGCGUCGAAUGCCACAGGUAAACGGUUAUCAUUACCAGUAUUCUAAAUUUAGGACGUGACGUUGAGAGGAUUCCCUAAAUUUUAGAUGUGCGUGGGAAUUACAUUCGAGUUGACGAGAAGAAACUUUUACAACUGUUACUGAAAAAAGCAGUACAUAAGCAUGGGAUAUAAAACCAAACCAAAGUCGCAGAACGUGAAUGAGGAUAACCCGGCUAAACAAUCCACAGAAACUCAACCAGCUGUGGAAGAAGUAUCAAUGGAAAUGAACCAACAAGCCAAGAAUGGAGAAGCCAGUCAGUUAGACAGGGUGGGUUUCAGUACCCCCCAUGCCCCGACUCCCCGCCGGUUACAGGCCGAUCGUCCCCGUAGUGCUCAUGUCCACAGGGUGUGUGGUCGGCUACUGCGACUAAUCGGCGACGAUUAUCUCUGUAGUUCAUGCGGUAAAGCUCUUCAAACAAUUGGUGAUGAGCUGACGACGGAAUACGCUAUACGGAAAGCGCUCAGCUGCAACGAUCUGGAGAAACUCCAACCUAAGAGAUGACAUGUUUAAUAUACGUGUCUAAUGUUACAACAAGCUACAUCGAUAUAACUGACAUAUAUACCAUCAGGGGAAGUGGAUGCAAAAAGCCUUUUAGGAUACCAUGUGCUUAAAGAUGUCAUGAAGAAUCUUGGCCGUGUAUUAAGUAGGAUCAAAGAAUGAAAAUCUGAGAUAGGAAAAGUAUGUUUAAAACAGAAUGAGAAAUCAUGUCAUGGAAAACGUACAUGUGAUAUUUGUACGUGUCCCAGACUUGGAAAAAUAUACAAUAUGUGUUUUGCAUGAACUAUUGCUCAAUACUACAGAUUAAAGACCUAUUUUUGUAUAAAAACACUUCGAUGUUCUCUGAAAAAUAUGCAAAAUAUUUACAUAUGCUAGCAUACGUCCUAAAACCAUGUAACAGCUACAUGUACGUUUUGUAUAGUCCACUGUAGUUCAUUACCAGGUACAGUCUGUGUUUAAGACUCAGUAUGACAGCGUGAAAAGUGAUGUACUGGUUCAUACAUAUAUACUGAUUGAUAAUAUACUUGAAAGAUCUACAUCUACAUUGUACAGAAAUUUGGUUUCUAAGCCAGACAUUUUCCUGUGUGUUCAUAGUGAAAACACUUUGUGCUGCUAAUUUAUUUUUAAAAAAUGUAAUGUCUUCCAUUUCUAUAUAUACGUGUCUACAAUGUAUUUCAGAUAUUUUAAAAAGAUAUUCGGCUGAAUUUAUGAAGACUUUAUAAGGAAAUAUUAAAUUAAUGUCUUCUAUUUCUAUAUGUACAUGCCUACAAGGUAUUUAAUCAUGAAUAUAAAAUAUUUUUGAAUUAAGAUAUUUUUAAAAGAUAUUCGGCCAAAUUUACGAAGCCUGUUUAUGUCUUACACAUUUGUAACUACAUACAUUUACAAUGUUUAAGCACCUUGUUUAAGAGAAACAGACUUCGUAAAUUUGGUCAGUUAUUUGUAAAUUUGGUCUGUUAUUUUAACAUACAGAGUAUAAACUUCCCUUCUAUGCUGUAGGUUAGUUGCACAUUUGGUGUUUGAGUGGUGUUCUUGCGUGUGAAACACAUUUUGGGUUUUUGUCUGUUUUGGGAUUCACAAAUAAGGGAUAUCGCACCAUUCACCUAUAAAGUAAGCUACUUAGUUUUUCAAACAUUUGUACUCAGCUCGGCAGCUGAUCUACAUUAGACUACCUCGUUGUUUUUUGCCGUCACUAAGUGUUCAGUUGAAUAAGUACAAGUAUAGCUAGUGUUUGAAAUAUGCACGUGUUCGUUUGUCUCGACAAGUAAAAAUCUAUUUGGAAAAGCAACAUGUGCCUCGGUGGUUGUCCAGUGGACAAGUAAAACAUUUCAGUGCAGUUUCAUUUGGAGAAAUUAAAAAUGUCAUCCUUGUACUUGAAUAAAACAAUCUAUUUAUUUGGACAAGUGAAAAUAUUGGUGGACAAGUAGAUUUCUAGGUGUAUUUUUCCGAUGGACUAGUAAAACAAUUUUGCUUAUUUUUAUCACUGAUAGUAAAUCGAACGAUUAAAAAAGAAGUCAGUGUAAAUGUCCAUUUGAUCAAACCAGGCCUCGAACUUAAGAAUUUGUGUCACAAAGCAAUUUGUAAAAUAAUUGCCAUGGGUGAAAUAGUCCACCGAUAGCAAUUUUGAGCCUGCCUUUGGCAAUUUGUUAAAAAGUGACAUUUGCAGCAAAUAAACGUGACUGAAAGGCUAUCUUGUUAUAUGCAGACAUAUUUUAAAUGUGCAAAUGUUAAAUAUUGGAAGAUUAUGUACCCUAGGUGUAUACAUUUCGCUAUUGUCGAGGAGCUUUAUCGACGACACAAAAGUGCCAUUGGUAAUGCUCGCUACAUACAGCAAUUUAUAUCUCAACAACAGCAAUUGCCGUCGGUGCUGUUGUUAAGUUCGAGCCCUGCAAACUAUUGAUAAAAGGACAGUCCUGGGUUUUCUGCCAUUGUUUCGAUUUUGCCAAUACAAUGCAAUAAAUACAAGUAGUUACAUAUUAAAUAUAUUUCUGAUAAACCUAGUGUUUGUAACUGGUCAAGCUUAAUUUUAUUCCCUAAUAUAUUUUUUUCACAGGUACACAAUUAUUGAGAGACUAACUACAGUUUGGGCUACUUACAAACAGGAUGAUAAAAAACCCAACAACAUUGAAUAGACAGAUACUAGUAUUCUAAACAAGAAACUAUAUUCAGUAUGUAAUUUUUGUCGAUAAACUAUUUUACAAUGGCAGCAAGAUCAGGACUGUCUCUUUGAUGUAAAUGCUUUAUACAGGGUAUUUGUGGAAAAUGUGUUUUAUUUUUAAGAUACAGAUAAGGCUUAGGAUGAAUAUGAAACUUUCUGUUUCUCUUUAAAUAUUACUGACUUUAUAUUCAAUAUGUUUCCGAUUAUUUUAAUUUUUUUGUGAACUCAAAUUGCAUUUUGUUUUCCAAUAUGGUACAUAUGUUUUUUCAUACAUACAUACUAACAUGGUCUUUUUGAUGAUUAAAAUUACAUAUUAAAUACAUUUUCUUGUUUAGCAUAUCAGUGUCUGCAUAUUCACUGUGUUUUUGGCCGUCCUGGUAAUUUUAGGAGCCCAAACAGGAUUUUACCCACCCCUCCCAUAAAUAACUCAAAAACAUGUUAUAAUUGCAGGAAGUUAAAUACAAUUGUUUAAAAUAACUCGGUGGAUAUAUUUUGCCAGUAUUGCCAAACCAGAGUUUGUGACGAAACAAAAACAAUGUUUAUCAAACAUAUUUUAGGCAUUUAUUUCCUCAUUUCAGUGUUCAUGAUUGAUGUAGAUUUAUUUUUUAAUUUAUAUUAUAUUUAUGAAUAAAAGUUUAUACAAUUUA